rnacentral:misc_RNA from 1 species
GAUGAAGAACGUAGCGAAAUGCGAUAAGUAAUGUGAAUUGCAGAAUUUAGUGAAUCAUCGAAUGUUUGAACGCACAUUGCGCCCCCUGGUAUUCCGGGGGGCAUGCCUGUCCGAGCGUCAUUGCUGCCCAUCAAGCACGGCUUGUGUGUUGGGUCCCGUCCCCCUCUCCCGGGGGACGGACCCGAAAGGCAGCGGCGGCACCGCGUCCGGUCCUCGAGCGUAUGGGGCUUUGUCACCCGCUCUUGUAGGCCCGGCCGGCGCUUGCCGACACCCAACCAUUUUUUUCAGGUUGACCUCGGAUCAGGUAGGGAUACCCGCUGAACUUAAGCAUAUCAAUAAGCGGAGGA